GUGAGAUUAAAGAGUUUGACGUGACUCCGCUUGUUGCUUACAUUUGUGAUGACUUCCCUUCCACCGGCCUGCACUGUGCUGCAAACACUAGACCUGGACAGUUUCAGCAGCUCAUGAAAUCCCCACCCUUCCCUCCAGCUCUCUCCUGCUGUAUAGCGUCAAACAGAGAAAAGGGGGGAUGGGAGACGAGAGCGAGAAAGAGAGAGAGAGAGAGAGAGGAGAGGAGGUGGAGGGGAGUGAGGUGGCGUGACUGUUUGCUCCCGUCUCGACCACGGGUAUUCUUGGGUUGAUAAUACAGAUGUCGAUGUUAUUGCUUGAGAAUACGCGUAGCUGAGUGGAAGCCAUCCUCAUCGACAACAAACAGAUGUUAGUGUGCGCCCUCCUCCGGGCACAAACCUGAUGUGAAGAGCAUCCAUGGUGAUGGUAAUCCUCUCCUGAAGUCCUGGUCCUGCGACUCGCCCUGAUCCCCCACCCAGCAUCCUCUUGGCCUCUGCAGGAAUGGGCGAAUGUGAUGCUGGGGCUCAUCCAUGUAAAAGGGCCCUUUGACAGAAACUGUGUCUGUGUGCUAAACCCUGGAAAUUCCCAGCCAAGAGGAUUCUCCACGCCACU